CUUAGCGGCGGACGGGUGAGUAACGCGUGGGAACAUACCCUUUGGUACGGAAUAGCCUCGGGAAACCUGUGCUAAUACCGGAUAAGCCCUUACGGGGAAAGUUUUAAUGCCAAAAGAUGAGCCCGCACUUGAUUAGCUAGUUGGUAAGGUAAAAGCUUACCAAGGCGACAAUCAAUAGCUGAUUUGAGAGGACGACCAGCCACACUGGAACUGAGACACGGUCCAGACUCC
rnacentral:rRNA from 1 species